UUCUUCACACCCUUUAUAUUGAACGGAAACUAGCAGGAUGUAGAACAACGAAGAAAGAUUAAGCUAGCGGUGAAGGCGGAGAUAUUCAUUUCUGCCCCUAUUUGAUCAUGGCUUUUAGAUACCGCCUGUUUCUUAUAUUUGUGACGAUGGAGAUCGUUAUGCUUAUUGUCAGAAGCGCGGCGUCAGGUUCAUCGGCCACAGAUGCAGCCACAGAUCCAAGGUGUCCACCAUGUAAAUGCUGCAAAUGCGGCUGCAGAGUCUGACUACCCUCGUUCCACUUUUUUAAUUAUGAGUAAUUUAUCUGUGAAUUAGAGCUAUGUUUUAUACUGUAAUAUUUGUAUUACUAUUACAAAAGUUAGUCCAUAUAGAUCGCUGCAGCCAUUGAUCAACUCAGACAUACCAGACAAUGACACAUGCAUAUAUAUUUGUUAAUGAGCUUUA